CAUUUUCACGAAUCCUUUGCGCUCCUUCUUAUUCCUCCGACAAAACAUGUCUCAGAAAUCAAUACCACAUACCAUUUUACUCCUUUCAUUAUACCCGCGCCACACCGCGAACUGCGCCAACCGUAAAUAACGAAAAGCACAAAAAAAAAAAGAAAAGAUUUACGGAAAAAGAAAAAUCCAAACUUUGUCUCAGCCUUUUUCACCACACCUCAAUUCUCUUUCACAGGGUCAUUCUUGCCCCCCAUCUCCUCUCCCUUGUCUUUACCUUCCCCUCCCCUCCCUCUGGGCCCCACCUUCCACCUCCGCCAACCACCGGGUCCACGGGGAUCAGCUGCAGGCUGUACGUAUAUAUGUAUUAUAUUUAAGGCACCGUACAUGUAUGUGUGUAUAGGAUUAGGAUCCUGACAUGAAUAAUAGAACAGUUUUGUUGUUGUUGUUGUUAAUGGAGUCUUGACACCCCCCCUUUUCUUUCUUUCUUUCUUUCUUUCUUUUUUUUGUAUUUGUUUUCUCUUUUUCUGAUGGGGAGAGGAGAGAGAAAGGGUGACAGGAAGGACGAGCAUUUGUGACAGAGGUUGUGUUCUGUGGAAUGAAUGUUUGUAGCCUUUUAGGAGGUGAAUGAGACAGUGUGGUGUUGUGGAGGAAACACCCUUUUUGGCUCUGAAAGAAGGUCAUGGUGGUGAUGUUUCUUUCCAAUGAUUUUUGAGGUAUUUUAGAGAGAAUCUAUGUUUCAAAUUGACCUUGAAGAAGGGUUUCAUAUGUUUUUGACUUAUUGCAGUGGCUACUAAUUUGUGGGUUUUGAGAAAUUCUCUUAAUGGGGGUUUAGAAAUUGCUCUGAGGAGGUGGAGGAGAACACUGGAAUCUGGAUUGAUCAGUGGUUGCCAUCAAGAAUUGUAGCUGGAUGAUGGGGCUGUUUCAUGGAUAAGGAGGGCGAAUUCUUCUCGGACUGUUUUUCAUAGGUGAGCGAGCUAUUCCACAGAUUGAGUGCAACGAGGAGGGGGCGAUUUUGGUGUCUUCCCAUCAAUCCCAACUGGAAAUGAAGUUCCCUUGUACCUAUAAGGAGGCUCUACAGUCUGAGAUGGAGCCUAGGUCGAGGAUCUCUUCCAAGUCGAUGCGCGAUGGCUUGGAUUCAAAACCUCCGUUUAACACUCGCCCGCUUCCCCAUUUUCCUUCCGUGAAGUUCCAUCGCAAAAAGAAGUUCCAGAAGGAAUCGGUUUGGACAAAGUACUUUGAUCAUGGUGGAGGGAGGGUGUCCUCUUUGGAUUCAACAAAUGAUGAGUUCUUGAUUGAUCUUUCUAAGCUGUUUCUUGGGCUGAGGUUUGCACACGGAGCGCAUAGCCAGCUUUACCAUGGGAUAUACAAGGACGAGCGCGUUGCAGUGAAGAUUAUCAGGUUGCCAGAUGACGACGAAACUGAAAGCCUAGAACCUAAGUUAGUGAACCAGUUUAACCGGGAAGUUGCUCUCUUGACUCGUCUUCGCCAUCCAAAUGUUAUAGAGUUCGUAGGCGAAUGCAGGAAGCCACCGGUUUUUUGCAUUGCCACUGAAUAUCUCUCGGCAGGCUCUUUAAGAGCAUACCUGCACAAGCUUGAGCACAAAUCUGUCCCCUUGCAGAAACUGGUUGCAAUGGCUUUGGAUAUCGCAAAGGGAAUGGAAUAUGUUCAUUCCCAAGGCAUAAUCCAUAAGGAUCUCAAACCAGAGAAUAUCCUCAUCAGCCAGGAUUUUAAGCUCAAAAUUGCCGAUUUUGGAAUAGCUUGUGAGGAGGGGCACUGCGAUCUUCUGUGUGAUGAUCCAGGCACGUACCGUUGGAUGGCUCCUGAAAUGAUCAAGCGUAAGCGCUGUGGUCGGAAGGUUGAUGUGUAUAGCUUUGGGCUCAUUUUAUGGGAGAUGUUAACUGGAUUUAUCCCCUAUGAGGACAUGACUCCUAUGCAAGCCGCUUUUGCUGUAGUUAACAAGAAUAUGAGACCGAAAAUUCCUGGAGAUUGCCCCCCUGCCAUGAAAGCUUUGAUUGAACAAUGCUGGUCUAUGCAGGCGAAAAAGAGGCCUGAGUUUUGGCAGAUUGUGAAGGUUUUAGAGCAGUUUGAGUCUUCACUGGCUAGUUAUGGAACACUGAAUCUAGUACCAAAUUUGAGAUCUCAAGAUGAGAAAAAGGGGCUUCUUCGGUGGAUCAAAAAGCACGAUUCCACCCAUUCAAACGCUUCUUCCAAAGGCUAAUCCUAAGGUCUCUUGAUGCAAUUUCUGUAUGAUCUGACGUUUGUAGUUUCUCCAGGUCCCGUUGUUGUAACUAUAGAGUGCUGUGUGUCUCGAUCCCUUUUUAUUGUUCCCCGCUUCAAUCCCGUGUGAAUGUGAAUGGCUAGGCCGUAGGCAUGCACUAGAGUGGCAUUUGUAAAUUUUCUGACAAACGUUAUGUUUCCAGCUUUCUGGGCAAAAAGUAUCAGGAAUUUCUCGAGCAUUACAGAGGCAGAAACUGACAGAUCGAGGCUGUUGCUGUUGCUGUCGCUUCAUUCCUUGCAAUCCUGUUAUCUGCAGAGAUCUUAUGUAGAAAUCACAGGUGCGGGCGAAGAAACGCAUCAGAGUGCAGAAAUUCGCCUUUCGGUUUCCUUGACAUUACACACAGGUCUGUCUGUGAGCCUAACCAAAACUGAGAAUGUCUUUCACCAACAUGGCAUGAGUUUCAUUUGUGCAUUCUUUGCUUUACUGCAUCUGCUAAAGUGAGUGAAAACUGCAAAUGUCUGCUUGAGGACAGUGGUGGAUAUGGCAGUCUUGCCACUGUCACUCUCCAUGUGAUUGGAUACUCUCCUGAAGAAAAUCUUUACACGAUUCUUCAUCGGCUCCACAUGAGAUUCUGAAGUGGUAUUUUAGUUGGGGUCAAGCCUCUACUCAGGAGCUAGCUUUGGUGGUGGAGUUAGGGUUUUAACUGACUUGAGUGCCAUAUCAUUUAAUUUGGUGCUCUUGUUGAGUUGUUGAGAGACUGGUGCAUGGUGGGAAAGGACGACUAUCCGGUGCUUGAUAAGGUUCAACAGGAACUGAGAAAAAGUCCAAAGUGAAAGCUUUUCAGAGUGAAGUCGUCCGCUUGUCCGUGCCGGCCUAGAGGAGGGGGUGACCUAGGAAAGGGCUACUUGGUGCUCGAGUGAAGCCAUCCAAAGAGAAAAAGGGUUACUUGGUGCUGAGAAGAGUCCAGAAUGUGAGUCAUUUAGAGUAAGCCAUCGCAGAUGUCGGCUUCUCAACGGGUGAACAAUGAUACAAUCCUACAUCAUAUCGGUGAAGUUAGGGUCUUGGUUUGAGUGCCGUAUCAAUAAAAAGAUGGAAUUUCGCCACAUAGAGCAAACAUUCUGGCCAAAGCACGAUAGCAUCUACCGGUUUUUAUGCAUAUAUAUAUAUAUAUAUUCUUUCAUCAGUCAUGGGGAAAAAAGCAGUCAUCUAAAUAAAGCUCUCAGCCCUUGCUGCAUAUAUUCUCUUCAUGAACACAGGAAGGUAGGCAAAGAAGCUGUCAUCUCAGUCUUUAGCAGGCUAGCUACUCUCUUUAGAUUUUUGAGUGUAUGUGUUUUAAUGUUUUGGGGGUGGGGUUGAGUGUGUUUCCUUUUUCGGAUUGGUGACGUGUUGUUUUUAAAACCACAAUUAGAAAGAGAAUUCGGAUUAUUGUAUUAACGUCUUAAUUGCUCAGUAAAUUAUAUUGAAGAUCGAGUAUAUAUA